rnacentral:rRNA from 1 species
CCUACGGGUGGCAGCAGUGAGGAAUAUUGGUCAAUGGACGCAAGUCUGAACCAGCCAUGCCGCGUGCAGGAAGACGGCUCUAUGAGUUGUAAACUGCUUUUGUACGAGGGUAAACGCAGAUACGCGUAUCUGUCUGAAAGUAUCGUACGAAUAAGGAUCGGCUAACUCCGUGCCAGCAGCCGCGGUAAUACGGAGGAUUCAAGCGUUAUCCGGAUUUAUUGGGUUUAAAGGGUGCGUAGGCGGUCGGAUAAGUUAGAGGUGAAAUCCCGAGGCUCAACUUCGGAAUUGCCUCUGAUACUGUUCGUCUAGAGAGUAGUUGCGGUAGGCGGAAUGUAUGGUGUAGCGGUGAAAUGCUUAGAGAUCAUACAGAACACCGAUUGCGAAGGCAGCUUACCAAGCUACUUCUGACGUUGAGGUACGAAAGCGUGGGGAGCAAACAGGAUUAGAUACCCUUGUAGUC